rnacentral:rRNA from 1 species
UACGUAGGGUGCAAGCGUGUCCGGAAUUAUUGGGCGUAAAGAGCUCGUAGGCGGUCUGUCACGUCGGCUGUGAAAACCCGAGGCUCAACCUCGGGCCUGCAGUCGAUACGGGCAAACUAGAGUACUGCAGGGGAGACUGGAAUUCCUGGUGUAGCGGUGAAAUGCGCAGAUAUCAGGAGGAACACCGGUGGCGAAGGCGGGUCCUCUGGGCAGUAACUGACGCUGGAGGAGCGAAAGCGUGGGGAGCGAACAGG